AAGUCAAUACCUUCAUGUCUUUUACACUUGACACAUUUGACGCAAUCUUGGCGUCAGGUGCUCGUCGUCGUCCUAGCAUGCGACUUGCCGAAUAGCUCGUCACGAACUUUUAUGAUAUCCAUUUAACUACGCACAAGCAGUAACUGUCCUACAUCCAUCCGCUUGCGCACAGCAGCCCCUCAUUAGAUUUGGUUUCGGUUGUAUAAAUAGAGAAAUAUGUCUGGUUGAGGACAAUUGUUCCAGCCAUCCAAGUCAUCACAUACCUAUCGAGAGCCUUCGAGCGCAAAACGCAAAUUUUACUAUUUAAAAAAUGAACUCAGUAGCAACCGCGUUCAUCCUUUGCCAGUUAGUGUUGACCCUAUGGCCGGCCGGUGCUGUGGCGGCACCACCUGCAGAGACUAACACGUCCUCGAAGAAUCUCGAAGACUUCAGAAAUCACAUACGCUCCACUUUGACAAAUUAUUUAAUGACACAGACCCACGCCAGGUAUGGAAAGCGAAUGGUCCCCCAUGGCACAUCCGUUUCCAAUAAUCGCAACUGGAACGCUCAGAACCCAAGCGAAGAGUGGGUUGGACAUAACGAUGGCAGAGAACCGAGUGGCAAAGACGAAAACCUGAUGGACAUUUGCUUUAAAAUCAACACGUCGCCGGAAAUUCGAAAUCUUUUACUUUCUUAAUUUUGAAACCGUUCCAUUUGAAAAAAAUCUAAAUGACAAUCUGAUAGUUACACCAUAACUUCAGAGUGUGAAAAGAGGAAACUUACUUAUGUUUAAAUACAUCUCCAUUUACAUGCUGUCA